UACGAAGGGGGCUAGCGUUGUUCGGAAUUACUGGGCGUAAAGCGCACGUAGGCGGUCUUUUAAGUCGGGGGUGAAAUCCUGGAGCUCAACUCCAGAACUGCCUUCGAUACUGGAGGACUUGAGUCCGGGAGAGGUGAGUGGAACUGCGAGUGUAGAGGUGAAAUUCGUAGAUAUUCGCAAGAACACCAGUGGCGAAGGCGGCUCACUGGCCCGGUACUGACGCUGAGGUGCGAAAGCGUGGGGAGCAAACAGG
rnacentral:rRNA from 1 species